AUCNUNNAGAUAGCCAUGCANGUCUAGUACAUGCCGUAUUAAGGCGAAACCGCGAAUGGCUCAUUAAAUCAGUUAUGGUUCCUUGGAUCGUACUUAGUUACUUGGAUAACUGUGGUAAUUCUAGAGCUAAUACAUGCAGCAGAGCUCCGACCUUCGGGAACGAGCGCUUUUAUUAGACCAAAACCAAUCUGGCUCUGCCAGUGUUUAUGGUGACUCUGUAUAACUUUGGGCUGAUCGCACGGGCUCGUCCCGGCGACGUAUCUUUCAAGUGUCUGCCUUAUCAACUGUCGAUGGUACGUUACGCGCCUACCAUGGUCGCAACGGGUAACGGGGAAUCAGGGUUCGAUUCCGGAGAGGGAGCCUGAGAAACGGCUACCACAUCCAAGGAAGGCAGCAGGCGCGCAAAUUACCCACUCCCAGAACGGGGAGGUAGUGACGAAAAAUAACAAUACGGGACUCUUUUGAGACCCCGUAAUUGGAAUGAGUACACUCUAAAUCAUUUAACGAGGAUCAAUUGGAGGCCAAGUCUGGUGCCAGCUGUUGCGGUAACUCCAGCUCCAAUAGCGUAUAUUAAAGUUGUUGCGGUUAAAAAGCUCGUAGUUGGAUCUCAGUUCCAGACGGGUGGUCCGCCAACCGGUGGUUACUGCCUGUUCUGAACAGUUCAGCCGGUUUCCUUUGAUGAUCUUCACCGGUUGUCUUGGGUGACCGGCAAGUUUACUUUGAAAAAAUUAGAGUGCUCAAAGCGUGCGUGACGCAUGAAUAAUGGUGCAUGGAAUAAUGGAAUAGGACCUCGGUUCUAUUUUGUUGGUUUUCGGAACACGAGGUAAUGAUUAAGAGGGACAGACGGGGGCAUUCGUAUUGCGACGCUAGAGGUGAAAUUCUUGGACCGUCGCAAGACGACUAUGAGANUUUUUUUU
rnacentral:rRNA from 1 species